CCAAAUGUUGAGUGUUAGCAUCAUGCUAAGGAUGGUUCAUAGAUAUUUGCAUUGAAUCCCUGCAAUUACUGUCUGAAAUGGAAAUAACUUGCUAUCUUACUUCAAGCUCCUGCUUUGACUACCACACUCUACUGCUUCCAACAAAGGGUUUUUUGUGUGUUUUUUUUUUUUUUUUUUCCCCAAGGAACCAUUGUUUGGGGGCAUAGCCUCUAGUUCAGAGGGAUACUUAGAAACGGAAAAUGUUUCCUUUACUUGUCAAAGAAGUUGUUGGGAAAUCUAUAGGCCAGGGUAAAGGAAGUACAUGGCUCAUUAGCAGCAGAAGAAAUACAGAUUAAGCCAGUUGGUCUUAUUACAUUUCUAUAAUAGGGGUAGAGCAGGCCACGCAGUCAUUAUCUGGACACGCUUAGCACUGUUCUCGCGAGACCCUGAGCACUGUUCUCGCGAGACCCUGAGCUCUGAGGUUUGAGGAUCAGCUCUACUAACAGUCAGCUUCACUGUGGUCCUCGUGGCAGAGAGUGUAGUGUGAGGUGGAUUGCAGCCUUCUCCUGAAGCCCUCCAGGCCUAGAGGCCAGCAGGGUAUCUUCCUGACUCAGGGAUUGAACCCGGGCCUUCUGCAUUGGCAGGCAGGUUCUUUACUGCUGAGCCACCAGAGAAGCCCUUGGCAAGACCACUCAUCUACGAAAGCUUGAACAUCUGGAAGUUCAUGGUUCACAUAUUGCUGAUGCCUGGCUUGGAGAAUUUUGAACAUUACUUUGCUAGCGUGUGAGAUGAGUGCCAUUGUGUGGUAGUUUGAACAUUGUUUGGUGGCCAAGAGGAGCUUCCCCUUACCCAAGUUCAGGGGUGGUGGUGGAGAGGAGCUACCCCACGCCCGAGGUCAGUGGCAGCGGCUGAGAAGAGCUACCCCAUGGUGAGGUCAGGGGCAGCAGCCUAGAGGAGCAACCCCACGUCCAAGGAGCGGAGGCUGCACAGGCGCAGGAGGGCUGAGAGGAGCUACUUCACGUUCAAGAUCAGGAAGGGCAGCCGUGAGGAGAUACCCCCAUCCAAGGCAAGGAGCAGUGGCUGCGCUCUGCUGGAGCGGCUGUGAAGAGAUACCCCACGUCCAAGAAUCUUUAAGGUUACAAGAAUCAUGCACUAGAGGCUAUUUCUCCUUGUUUCAGAAAGAUGAGGAACUUGAUCAGAAGAGUGAGAGGUUCACUCUGGAAUUCUCUCAUGGGACUCUUCAAUUAAGUUGUUGUGACAUUUAAUACAACCCUCAUGAUUUAUGAGAAGUCAGAGAAUCCUGGGGAUCUUCCUGACCCAGGGAUCAAACCUGCAUCUCUUAUGUCUCCUGCAUUGGAAGAUGGAUUCUUUACUGCUAGCGCCACCUGGGAAGCCCAGUAACCUCUGAUAUACCUCCAAAUCAAAAGCAGCCUUCAUGGAUAUUGAAUGCUUAUAGUUUUCCUUUUUUAAGGAAAAGUGAAUUCUAAAAUUUUAAAUUAAAUAGUUUAAUGGAGCUUGGAUAUUCUUAUAUUCCUGUCGUGUUGAUUAUACCUCAUGAUAAGUAAGCAUUGGGAGAUCGCUUGCCAGAUCACAUAAACAUGCAUGGAAUAUCUCAAGGGGCCAAAUGUAAUUAUUCUUCUGAAGAUUCUUGGGCUCCAUUUUAUUUCUUAAGAUAGAUCUAUAAAUCUGAUAGCAAUUGAACUACAU
ensembl:lncRNA